CACGACUAGAAACGAACGCCUCCUUCUGCAGUUAUCACCGUCCUCGAGUCCUUCUCCUUCCACCACACCGUCGGCUCCAUCCACUGGACUUGAUCUCACCCCGAAGCUCCACAGAAAUCUUCCUCUGGACGGUAUAAGGUUUUGGAUGGAGAUGUUCAUGCUUGCUGCAGCAGCAGCCUUGGCUGCUCAUGGUGAUCUUGAUGUUCAUUUUGCAACAUUCGUAAAGACCAACUAUUGUUUGAGUUCCAGAGUUUGAUCCGGUACGCCUUUUGGGCAUUGCCCUGGUAGGUCUCCUCUGGUCCUUUUUUCCUAUUCUUCUUCGCAAGCAGCAGCAGCCUUGGCUGCUCAUGGUGAUCUUGAUGUUCAUUUUGCAACAUUCGUAAAGACCAACUAUUGUUUGAGUUCCAGAGUUUGAUCCGGUAUGCCUUUUGGGCAUUGCCCUGAAAAAGGUGCUUGCUCCCAACUGGUUGAAGGCAACUCAGUGCAACCCCCAGGGAGGUCGUGCAUGAGUUGCCAUGUACAUUUCUGCAUAACUGAUUGGAUUAUGCAUGAACGCCCCCUGGCUUUCUGUAUAACAAUUUGGUUGUGCAUCCUUAGUCAUUUGGUUGUUCUUGUACCCAGAUUGGGUUAUGCAUGAACGGCUAAAUGGUUCUCCACCUAACUACAAAAGGUGAAAAGUAUGAACUUACACUGAACCCGUGUACAUGCUUUCAAUUUUCCUUUCAUUUUCUAACAUGUUUACAUUCUAAUAUAAUCUAUCGUGAUUGCAUACGGUUUAUAGUGAUGGUUUUGUGCAAGAAAACCUGAAGAGUUGGGGGAGUGUUGACUGAUAGUCCAAAACUCCUCCCAGUGCUUGAGGUCAGGGAGCAUAGCAAAAGAGGCAUGGAUGUGCAUUGAUUAUUUUUUUCCCUUUUUUUUUUCCAGCUCAUCUUCUUUGUAAUAUUUAUCAAGAAUUUUUAAUGGGUUUUCCUUUUGUUUGGAAUGAAAUAUUCUUUUGUUAUGGACCCUUUUCAGUUAUAAGCCUUUAAUUUAUCGUUGUAGGCUUCCUGCUAUUCUAUGACUGAUGUCAUGGACUUUGGUUCUUGUUUCAGGGAUGACCUUUUUCAUCAUCACCUUUCUUUUGCCAGCAUGAUCAAUGUGUUGUUUGGCUGUUUGCUGAGAAUUAGUUUGGUUAGACAUAGCAGAUCAGUUAUAUGUUUAGCUGAGAAUUGGUUGGUGGAAAUAAAAAUGCUUUAAUGA